AUAGGAGAGAUGAUGUGCAAAGUUGAUCAUGUUGUUUAAAUUAGAUGUGAUAAUGAAAGUGCUAUAUGUAAUGACCCUUAUUGUCAUUUUUAGUGUUUUAUCUUCUGUACAUCGUUUAGAACGUUCCUAUAGCGAUUCCAAGUCAUUUAUGACUUGCUGGGACUGACAGAUCGGUCACCUGGUCAUUCGUUUGGUUAUUGUGUGACUUUUAGUAUUUUUGGAGCUUAUGAACCUUGAACGAUCAUUCUCGAUCAAAAGUUCAAGAAGAUGACAUCAGAAUCCAAUUCUGACGAUUCCAUCAGUUCCGGAAGGGUCAUUUUAGUCUAGUAGCAUUGUCGACAUGACUCCCAAAGUUUUCAGUGUGAGUUGGUGGGAUUAGGCGUUUUAACUUUAAGUUUAAAGGCUAAGUUUGACUUUAGUCAACAUUCUGAGUAAACGCGCUCGGAUGAGAAUUCCGUCAGCGCGGUUAGCUCCGGAAUGUCGAGUUUGGUCUAGUUUGACCCUUCUUUCGGGUUUUGAGGUUUUUGAUAUUUUUUCAAGCCCUUUUGUGGUUUUUGACUUAAAAUGGCCAAUGGAAGUGGGACCCACAUUUUAUCGAGAUGACCUCUGAUGAAAAUUUCGACUGCGCCUUUGAGUCCGGAAUGUCGACUUUGGUAGGGUAGCAUAUCUAUUUUAUUUUUAUCAGGUUCCAAACGAAUUCCGAGCACCCGUCGGAGACUUUAAAGAAAGUAGACAAAGCUGAAUCUGGUGCAGCCCUUAUAAAAACCCAACUUUCAGCUUUGUAUCUUACUUUAGAAUCUUGAUAUCUUGAGCUAUACAACUCCAAAUUGGGCGAUUCAAAAGGCUAAGUUGUGAGAUUUUUCGAGGGCAACACAUUGGUGAGCUUGGAAUCUGAUUUGGGGACCCGAUUUGAGGUCCGAAUCAAGUGAUUCAAGAGCCUAUAUUGUGUGGUUUUUCGUGAGGAUCGUCGUGGUGUGGUUGGUUUUGGCUGUUGGAGCUUCAUUUUUGGUAAAAUCUUGUAAGUAGCUGCUGCCAUAGUUGCUGAUUUUUAGCUUAGAAUUUGGGUUCUUUUGUUGCAUGUUCAUGUUGGGACUGUUUUGAGUCCUGAAUUAUGCUCCAUUAUGGUAUACAAGUUUCGAGAGUUAUUUAGGACUUUUAUUUGGGGUUAAUUCGGGAUUUUUCAACGCGGAUCCCACUUUUUCCAUUUUGACCAUGAAAUUGACCCGUCUCCGUUUCUUGCGAUUUUAGUGUAUCAACGUUUCGAGGCCUUUUAGAAAGUAAAAGAUCCGGGGAGUGAAUUUUGGAGCGCGCGUGAUCUGCGUUCAGGUAGGCUAUGGUUUCUCUUCUUAGAUUGAACUCGAACAUGUGAAUGCAUGUUGAUUAGUUGGGAUUUGGGUUGGGUAGUUAUUGGAUCAUGCAUAGGUGUUACAAAUCAUAUUUUCGCCUUUUUUCUGAGAAUUAUCGGGUAACUGUGAGCAUGUUUAUUGUUAUUAAUUGACCUUCUUUGCUAUAUGAAUUACUUGUAUGUUUGAAUACUGGUUGUCAGAAGUAUGUUGGGCCUUAGUUUAGGUUUGACUAGGGUUUUCCUUAGAAAUGCAUGAUUCAAAGUCGGUAGGACUUAGUUUAGCCCCGACGUCGCUCGGCCGACUUAAAUCCUUGUAGACUAAUGUAGCAGACUUGAGUCUGAUAGUUGGGUAUUUAGAAAGACGAUGAGCUUGCUCUAGCGAUUGUUACUCUUAUUUCUUCGAUGUUACGGCUUCUCGAGUUACGUCAGUGACAAUGAUUUCCGCUCCAUGAUUCAAAGUUGAGUUUCUAUUCGACUUUAAGGUCUUACAUUGAUUAGCUAAGUCUGGAUGGUGUUCCAUGGGUUUAUAUGAUUACGGAUAGA